GGACUACUAGGGUUUCUAAUCCUGUUUGAUCCCCACGCUUUCGUGCCUAAGCGUCAAUAUUAGCCUCGUGAGCUGGCUACCCUAUCGGUGUUCUAUGUCAUAUCUAAGCAUUUCACCGCUACUUGACAUAUUCCGCCCACGCCGUCUAAAUUCAAGAUUAGCAGUAUCAACGGCAGUUCCUCAGUUAAGCUGAGAGAUUUCACCGCUGACUUACUAGUCCGCCUGCGCACCCUUUAAACCCAAUAAAUCCGGAUAACGCUUGGAUCCUCCGUAUUACCGCGGCUGCUGGCAC
rnacentral:rRNA from 1 species